CCUACGGGAGGCAGCAGUGGGGAAUUUUGGACAAUGGGCGAAACCCUGAUCCAGCAAUGCCGCGUGAGUGAAGAAGGCCUUCGGGUUGUAAAGCUCUUUUGUCAGGGAAGAUACACCGGCUCUAACACAGUCCGGGAAUGACGGUACCUGAAGAAUAAGCACCGGCUAACUACGUGCCAGCAGCCGCGGUAAUACGUAGGGUGCGAGCGUUAAUCGGAAUUACUGGGCGUAAAGCGUGCGCAGGCGGUUAUACAAGACAGGCGUGAAAUGCCCGGGCUUAACCUGGGAAUGGCGCCUGUGACUGUAUAGCUAGAGUGUGUCAGAGGGGGGUAGAAUUCCACGUGUAGCAGUGAAAUGCGUAGAGAUGUGGAGCAAUACCAAUGGCGAAGGCAGCCCCCUGGGAUAACACUGACGCUCAUGCACGAAAGCGUGGGGAGCAAACAGGAUUAGAUACCCUGGUAGUCCACGCCCUAAACGAUGCUGACUAGUUGUUCGGGAUUUACAUCCUGAGUAACGUAGCUAACGCGUGAAGUCAGCC
rnacentral:rRNA from 1 species